AAUAAAGCUUUCUAGGGUUCCGCAAGGUGAUUACUUUGGUCUGGUCCGAGAGAAAGCCACAUAUUUUUAUGUGACACGGAAGGAUAAAAGCCUGGGAGAU
rnacentral:sRNA from 2 species